rnacentral:rRNA from 1 species
AACGGCCGCGGUAUCCUAACCGUGCAAAGGUAGCAUAAUCACUUGCCUAUUAAUUGUAGGCUAGUAUGAAAGGGUUAACGAAAUAAAAACUGUCUCAAUUAAUCACCUAAAAACUAUUCUCUACUUGAAGAAAAGUAGAUUCCCUUGAAGGACAAGAAGACCCUAUAGAGCUUAAUUUUACUUAUAGGCCAAAACUAUAAAAAUAUUCGGUUGGGGCGACCCAGGGCUAAUUAAUCACCCACAGAAAAAAAGAUAUGUAAAUCAAAUAAAUGACCCUCAUAGAUCACAAGACCAAGCUACCUUAGGGAUAACAGGCUAAUCCCACUUAAGAGUCCUUAUCAACAGUGAGGUUUGGCACCUCGAUGUUGGCUUAGG